AAGGUUUUAAGUUAAAUAAACUAAUAGCCUUCAAAGCUAUAAAUAUAAGGAAUCCUUUUAAGCCUUA
rnacentral:tRNA from 1 species